AUUGGAUUUCACAAAUAUGACCAGAUCUUCUCAGAUAGUCAUUUGAUAUAAAAACCAGCCCCCUGGAGAUUGUUAUAUGUUAUUAAGCCACUCUUUAGACUUCUCUUGGAGAAUGGAUCUUUACUAAACUAUGGCUGCUGUUUUAGAAUCUUCCUUUCAGAGAGUGCUGAGAAUACCUAGGAAUAAAAUGCACUUCUUUCCCAGAAAAUUUUUCGUUGACUGUCUAUUUUAAAGGUUAUUGGAUUAUCUUCAUUAACAUUCAGUUGAUGUAUUGAGCACUUGCUCUAUGCAGCAAACUCUGCAAAGACCUAUGUUUUGGAUAUUCACAAAUACUUUAACAUCUCUGUGGCAGAUUACUGAGAGUGGACUUAGUUUUUGGAAUAAAGAGUCAAAAGCAGAGGUGGGUACAUAAAGUUAGUGAUGAGGGUUAUGUGGUAAGAUAAAGUCCUGAGGCUGAUUUUCUUCUAUGCAUAUAGAAGUAAUAGUAGACUUUAAUGGUGUUUGGCUCAGAAAACCAAGAAUAGUUAUCUUGGAGCUAUCAUGGUCCUCUCCACAAAGUCCCUGAGGAACACAAGAAAGAAUGGUAAGGGAAAGGAAUGUAACACAUAGUUAGACAGACUUGUUUCCUAGAACUCUAUUCAGAGAACUGUGGUAGGUCAAGCUAGAUCUUAUGGUUAAGUUUGGAGGCCUGUGAGGCCAUUUUCCUCUACCUAAACUCAAACCUUAAUCUCAGAGUCUUAUUUGACAGCUGACUGCAAUGUGACAGAAGGCCACAAUGAUAAGCUUGAUUAAUAAAAACAGAAUAGAGAAUUGACCACAAUCAAGUAUUGAUGUGUCGUGGCAUCUGACCAGUCAGAUAAAAGUUAGGUGGAAGGCACAACAAAGUUUUUAGUUAUUAUAUCCCUUAUUCUAGAAUUCUACAUACACCAAAUAUGAAAGGAGUUCUAAAACAGCAUUUUGAACAUAAUGGAAAUCAGCAUGUAUUCAGCUGGAGUGCUAUUUAGGACAGCACUUUUAUUUAGAGAAGAUAAGAGCUCUGGGGAAAAAAAAGGAAAGAUUGUGAAGGGCAAUAUAAGGCAUGCUAAAGAUUUUGGUGUUUAGAAACAUCCUGCUACAGCAGCGUGGAGCAUGCUUAGAAAAGAGGAGAAACUAGCAGCAGAAAUACUGUCUAGAGGCUUUUGUGAUAAGUCCAUGUGAAACAGUGGGCCUUAAAGUAAGGUAGUAGACAUUGGGCUGUAGAGAAGCAGGUAGAUUCUAAAGUUAUAAAUGACAUGAUAUGGUAUCACCAAUAUUUGGCUAUUGAUUGGUUGUGGGAGAAGAGGAAGUAAAGGUGAUUCACAGGAUUCUGAUUUGGGCAAUGGAGUGAAGAAUGGUGCCAAGGUACCAAAGGAAGAACAAGUUUUAGUCUGUGGAUGCAGUAUCAGACUGAAGAUAUUUUGUUCCAGAGUGUCUAUGUUGAGGUGCUUCCGGAACAUUUAGAUAGACGGCCUAUUGUAAAUACAUAUAUGCAAUAUAUAUGGUGAGAGUAGACUUAAUUUUGGGAAUAAACAAGUCAAAACCAUUUUUAAACACUCUUACUGUAUUCCAGAAAUAAAAGGCUUGCUCUACCUCUCCACUUUUACCUAUAAGUAUAGCUGUGCUCCUGCCCUACUGAACUAAUCACCAUUCCAAUAACACAGAACACAGCAUGCUCUUCACAUCACAAUACCUUUGUACAUAUUGUUCCCUUUGCCUCAAAUGCUUCCUUUCUCUCCUCUUCAGUCAGAAUAUGUAUGUUUACAUUCUGAUUUGCUGAUAUUUAUUGUAAUACAGCAUACAUAUGAAAGAGUACAGAAAUUAUACAUGCACAGCUCAGCAAGUUUUCAUCAAUUUAACAUACCUGUGUAAUUGGCACCAGAAAUAUGAAACAUUAUUAUUU
rnacentral:lncRNA from 1 species